ACAUUUCAUUUAAUCAACACUCUAAACCAAAUGAUCCUGCAUUCUAGAUCUAUCUGCAACUAUCAUUUGAGCUUCAGAAAUCCAGAAGCACAUAUUUCAGAGGUUUAUGAUAAUAAUUCCAUUUUUAGUUCGAAAGAUAUGUUAUUUUGACGAGUUGCGUGAAGAAUCAAACACAAAAAAAGUUGUUUUAUUUUGACAAAUUGCAUGAUGAAUCAAACACAAGAGUAUGUUCCAUAUGGAACAUAUUGAUACUCCAUUUUUAGCUCAGUUAUCAUGUCUCUGUUUCCAUUGUUGCUGAGGUCUGUAUGCAGACUGUUGGCUGCCAUUGUUGAGAGACCCGCUGUAGUGAUGACUACACUGUUACAUGAGAGCUUUUUACUGCCUCGCAAUCUUAAUUUGGAGCAUUUUGUAGCACAAGAUCUUCUGGAUGGUGAUAAUUAUCUCUUUCAUUUUGUCAUACAUUUGCUAAGGUGCAUUUGGCAAUGAGCUGGUCUGUAAUGCAAUUUUGGAUCUUGUUUCUUAGAUAGCGUUUUCUAUUGGUUUUGUAGAUUUUUAAGAUGUGGGAUUCAAUACUUUUUUAUUAUAUUGGUGUAAUGUCGUUUAAAUUGUGGGAUUCAAUUAAAGUCGUGUAGUUUUCACGGUUUUCUGAUGAUGGAUCAUGUAGUAUGAUCCAAGACGUUGAUGAACAUUUUUGCACACAACAUAUUAUAAAAGUCUUUUACAAUUGUGAGAUUCAAUAGUUUUGUAUUAACAUUUGAUGUAAUUUUCUCUAAAUUGAUACAUUCAUUUAGUAUCUAAGUGUAAUCAGUUUAAUUUGAUAUAUAAUUUGAUUCUAGUAAAUUUGUAAUAUGAUGUUACUUUUCUUUUUAAAUGUUUUUAUAGGAUCUGGCUCUUUCUUUUGAUAUAUAAUGAUUUCAAUGUUAAAUUGUUUGUGGAAAUGUAAGUUAGUGUUAUAUAAUAUCUAAAUAGAAUGAAGAUUUGUAUAUAGUUUUUAUUUUUUUAUAAAUAGUGAUAUUAUAUUUUAGAGAAGUGUAGAUCUUUGUCAUUGUAUAGAUUGAUGUAUAAAUGAUGUGUUUUAACAGAGGUUAGACAAUUGUGAGGUGGAUACAUCUUGCUCUUCCCUUUUUUCUAUAUGAGCCAUUAUGUCCAUGCAUGGUUUGGUAUUCUACCUUACGAUAGUCCUUCGACUCCUAUAUCAUGCCCCUUCAUGUAUCUUUAUAAAUCCACCUUGAAAAGGAUUUGCAGGUUGUUAACAAUUUUGAGAAGAUUUCUUGCAGGUCAUAGUUGUAAAAGAGAGAAGUUAGAAGACAAGGAAAGAGUAAAAGCGAAAUUCUAAGAGGAAGCGAGAGCAUUUCUAGAUAUCAUUGCCAUUCUUUAUAGGUGUUCUGUUUCUACCUCACACAGAUGUUCAAGAUUAGUGAGCAAAUAUCAGAUUAUGCAGGAGGAAAACAUAAUGCUAAACAGUCAGAUCAGUAAAACUCCAUGCAGUACUGGUUAUUUUUCAAGCUGUCAUUCCAAGAUCAUGAAACACAAUUGACUUCGAUCAUACACCUAUGGAGUUGUCUGGCAUCUUGAGUAUUAGCAAUACUAAAUGACUUAAGCAUGCCAAUUGAAAGACAAGCUACUGAAGAUUUUCAGAGACAUUGGGAUGACAUUCACAAAAUGGGUUUGUUGAAAAGUUCCUGGAAACUUUUAAGCAAAUGCAAUUGGUAUAGCUGCAAGUGCCCUGGCAGACAUGUAGGCAAAAUAUAGAAGCACGCAAAAACUUGCAAAUUGUUCAAUAAAAUGCCUCUAAGAAGUGUGCUUAUGUAGAAGCACACAAAACCUGCAAAUUGUUCAACAAAAUGCUUCUAAGAAGUGUGUUUAUGUAGAAGCGCACAAAACCUGCAAAUUGUUCAACAAAAUGCCUCUUAGGGGUGUGCUUUCUUGUAAUACAGUGGUUGCAGCCAAUGCCAAAAGUAAUCUUUGCGAGGAUGCUCUGCAACUCAAACAUCUCAUUUAGAUAAUAUACCUGAUUGUGAAAGUAAAGAAAAUUCAUCCAAAUGGGAAAAUAUAAAUACAGCAGGGUACAGUGGUGGUACUACAAAAAUACAACACUACUGAAAACCCCAGAAGAGGUAAAUUCUUAUUGAUUUAGGAUUCUUUAGAGGUUCUGAUAUGAAUGAAAUUAGUUAGAGAUUUGGGGGUACAAAUAGAACCAAAAUUGUGGUCUUGUUCAUAGGCAUGAAAGUGAAGUUAUUUUCUAUUGUCCAUGGAAUAUGUGUGAAAAUAGCAUGUUGAAGGACUCUCAAACUAUAAGGUAGUAAUCCCUUGUGGAUUGCUCUGUGAGCAUUAAAAUUUCAAUUAAGAACUUCUUUACAGAAGAUAAUGCCUGUAAAUCCAAGGAAAGCAAGUCAAGAUUGUAAGUGCAAACUGCUCUUACUCUUGGCAGUUCUACUGAAAAAGAUUCAUCAAAUAUCAUUGUCAUAUUAGAAUUGGAUGUAAUCAAAAGAGGUAAAAAGUUAAUGGACCUUUAGUCUA